rnacentral:rRNA from 1 species
UGGAUGAACGCUAGCUACAGGCUUAACACAUGCAAGUCGAGGGGCAUCAGGAAGAAAGCUUGCUUUCUUUGCUGGCGACCGGCGCACGGGUGAGUAACACGUAUCCAACCUGCCCUUUACUCGGGGAUAGCCUUUCGAAAGAAAGAUUAAUACCCGAUAGCAUAAUGAUUCCGCAUGGUUUCAUUAUUAAAGGAUUCCGGUAAAGGAUGGGGAUGCGUUCCAUUAGGUUGUUGGUGAGGUAACGGCCCACCAAGCCUUCGAUGGAUAGGGGUUCUGAGAGGAAGGUCCCCCACAUUGGAACUGAGACACGGUCCAAACUCCUACGGGAGGCAGCAGUGAGGAAUAUUGGUCAAUGGGCGCUAGCCUGAACCAGCCAAGUAGCGUGAAGGAUGAAGGCUCUAUGGGUCGUAAACUUCUUUUAUAUAAGAAUAAAGUGCAGUAUGUAUACUGUUUUGUAUGUAUUAUAUGAAUAAGGAUCGGCUAACUCCGUGCCAGCAGCCGCGGUAAUACGGAGGAUCCGAGCGUUAUCCGGAUUUAUUGGGUUUAAAGGGAGCGUAGGUGGACUGGUAAGUCAGUUGUGAAAGUUUGCGGCUCAACCGUAAAAUUGCAGUUGAUACUGUCAGUCUUGAGUACAGUAGAGGUGGGCGGAAUUCGUGGUGUAGCGGUGAAAUGCUUAGAUAUCACGAAGAACUCCGAUUGCGAAGGCAGCUCACUGGACUGCAGCUGACACUGAUGCUCGAAAGUGUGGGUAUCAAACAGGAUUAGAUACCCUGGUAGUCCACACAGUAAACGAUGAAUACUCGCUGUUUGCGAUAUACAGUAAGCGGCCAAGCGAAAGCAUUAAGUAUUCCACCUGGGGAGUACGCCGGCAACGGUGAAACUCAAAGGAAUUGACGGGGGCCCGCACAAGCGGAGGAACAUGUGGUUUAAUUCGAUGAUACGCGAGGAACCUUACCCGGGCUUAAAUUGCAGUGGAAUGAUGUGGAAACAUGUCAGUGAGCAAUCACCGCUGUGAAGGUGCUGCAUGGUUGUCGUCAGCUCGUGCCGUGAGGUGUCGGCUUAAGUGCCAUAACGAGCGCAACCCUUAUCUUUAGUUACUAACAGGUUAUGCUGAGGACUCUAGAGAGACUGCCGUCGUAAGAUGUGAGGAAGGUGGGGAUGACGUCAAAUCAGCACGGCCCUUACGUCCGGGGCUACACACGUGUUACAAUGGGGGGUACAGAAGGCAGCUAGCGGGUGACCGUAUGCUAAUCCCAAAAUCCUCUCUCAGUUCGGAUCGAAGUCUGCAACCCGACUUCGUGAAGCUGGAUUCGCUAGUAAUCGCGCAUCAGCCACGGCGCGGUGAAUACGUUCCCGGGCCUUGUACACACCGCCCGUCAAGCCAUGGGAGCCGGGGGUACCUGAAGUACGUAACCGCAAGGAUCGUCCUAGGGUAAAACUG